ACCAAGCACCCAACGCCGUCGUUGCUGUCAUCGUGCCGCGGAUGGCUCGUCGUAUCAUUAAUGCUGUCAUCGUGUCGCGGACGGCUUUUCGCGGCGUCGGUCCCGUCAUCGUGCCGCGGACGGUUUUCGCGUCGCGAAAUUCGGGAAAGUACGGGAGUGUCGUUGAAAGUAUCGCGCGUACAAGUGCGGAAAUAUCUUUUAAUAAAAGUGCGGAAGUGUCGUUUAAAGUAUCGCGCGUGUGAAUCAAUCUGAGAAGAGGAGGAAGCCUAGGAGAGGCAUCGGGCGUCGGUGGAGCAACCCUGUGAUCAACGUGGCGUCCCUAACAUUCUGAGAGGAGGAGGAGGCCUAGGAGAGGUAUCCUGCACCAGCGGAGCAACCCAAGGACAACGUAGCUUCAAGACCUAAUCUCCGCUGUUGCGCAUCAGUGCCGGUGAGUGAUAAAUUUUAUUUUAUUUUGAGGUGACGAAUGCGAGAUAUUGUAGUUGCAAAUGUAGAUUGUAAAUUAUAAAUAGAUCCGUUGCCUUAAAAU